GAUGAACGCUAGCUACAGGCUUAACACAUGCAAGUCGAGGGACCGGCGCACGGGUGAGUAACACGUAUCAACCCUGCCCUUUACUCGGGGAUAGCCUUUCGCAAGAGAGAUUAAUACCCGAUGUAAAGGAUGGUGAUGCGUUCCAUUAGGUUGUUGGUGAGGUAACGGCUCACCAGGCCUUCGAUGGCUAGGGGUUCUGGGAGGAAGGUCCCCCAGAUUGGAACUGAGACACGGUCCAAACGCGUACGGGAGGCAGCAGUGAGGAAUAGUGGUCAAUGGGCGUUAGCCUGAACCAGCCAAGUAGCGUGAAGGAGGAAGGCUUAUGGGUCGUAAACUUGUGUGAGAUAAGAAGAUGUAUUAGAUGAAUAAGGAUCGGCUAACUCCGUGCCAGCAGCCGCGGUAAUUC
rnacentral:rRNA from 1 species